rnacentral:rRNA from 1 species
GACGAACGCUGGCGGCGCGCCUAACACAUGCAAGUCGAACGGAGUCAAGAGGAGCUUGCUUUUCUUGACUUAGUGGCGAACGGGUGAGUAACGCGUGAGUAACCUGCCCUGGAGUGGGGGACAACAGUUGGAAACGACUGCUAAUACCGCAUAAGCCCACGGAUCCGCAUGGACAUGCGGGAAAAGGAUUUAUUCGCUUCAGGAUGGACUCGCGUCCAAUUAGCUAGUUGGUGGGGUAACGGCCCCCCAAGGCGAGGACUGGUAGCCGGCCAGCGAGGUUGAGCGGCCACAUCUGCGCGAGGACACGGCCCAGACUCCUACGGGAGGCAGCAGUGGGGGACAUUGCACAAUGGGGGGAACCAUGAUGCAGCGACGAUGCGUGGAGGAAGAAGUUAUUCGGAUAGUAAAGUCCUGUUGUUAGGGACGAUAAUGACGGUACCUAACAAGAAAGCACCGGCUAACUACGUG